ACUCCUACGGGAGGCAGCAGUAGGGAAUCUUCCACAAUGGGCGCAAGCCUGAUGGAGCAACACCGCGUGAGUGAAGAAGGGUUUCGGCUCGUAAAGCUCUGUUGUUAAAGAAGAACACGUAUGAGAGUAACUGUUCAUACGUUGACGGUAUUUAACCAGAAAGUCACGGCUAACUACGUGCCAGCAGCCGCGGUAAUACGUAGGUGGCAAGCGUUAUCCGGAUUUAUUGGGCGUAAAGAGAGUGCAGGCGGUUUUCUAAGUCUGAUGUGAAAGCCUUCGGCUUAACCGGAGAAGUGCAUCGGAAACUGGAUAACUUGAGUGCAGAAGAGGGUAGUGGAACUCCAUGUGUAGCGGUGGAAUGCGUAGAUAUAUGGAAGAACACCAGUGGCGAAGGCGGCUACCUGGUCUGCAACUGACGCUGAGACUCGAAAGCAUGGGGUAGCGAACAGGAUUAGAUACCCUGGUAGGAUACCG
rnacentral:rRNA from 1 species